AACCCAUGAUGAGGAUCGGCGAGGAUGUAAUCUUGCAGCCUCUCCCAAGCUUCAGGGAUUGACUCCAUCGCUAUCUACUGGAAACUUGAGAUCUUUCCGCGUAGGGC